rnacentral:tRNA from 1 species
AAAAAGAUAAGCUAAAAUCUCAAGCUGACGGGCUCAUACCCCGUUUAUGGAAAGAUCCUCUUUUUA